CUCAGGGUGUACAUCAGCAGGAGGCUGGAUCAGAAAUAGAUGAGGGAGUUGAUCCCAGGAGCUGUGAUAUGAAAUGUGUGCUGCUCAAGAAGCAGGCUGUUAGUAUACAGUAUGAUGCUCUAUCAUGAUGCUGACCAUGAUGACAACCACAACUCCCAGUCAAUCCCAUGAUCAUAAGGAUCAGCAAUUACUAGUGUACAGUAUACUGUGUUGCAAAGCUGCAAGACUUGAUAGGGUUUAUCUCUGCAUGCCAUCCUUUCAUGCAGUUGUAACAAGGAGCUGCUUGGAUCCCUGGU